GCCACCAUAGCUCAGUUGGUAGAGCAGCGGUUUUGUAAACCGCAGGUCGUCGGUUCGAGUCCGACUGGUGGCU
rnacentral:tRNA from 1 species